rnacentral:lncRNA from 1 species
GAAGCGGGUGUAGGGAGUGGUGGGGAGUUGUGUUUAUUAGCCUGCCUCGGGCCUGAGCUGGGCUUACAGUUGACCCUAAAGAGGGUGGUAGUGGAGGGGGGGGUCAGGCUUGGGGAAGGGUUCCCUGAGGGAACAGGAGAAAAAUAGAGAGUUAGAGGUACGUGUGCAUGUGUUUUGGGAGUCCAAACGGGUGAAGGUAGAACCAUUGAAUGAGGAGGAGGGGAGGAGCAGCAUUUCCCCAGAGGACUUUUUGCCCAGAGGUGGAGGCAUCUCACACCUCUGCGGACAGCUGAGAAGCACGUGGUCCCUGUGCAGUUUAUGAAGGCUGUUAGCCUGGACACGUCCAACUCCAAAGGGCCAGCCCUACUUCAGUAACUCUUUGAUGCACAGUGAAUACAUAUUAAGAGCUGGGAAUAACGUUAUCACUCUGGGAUGCAAAAGCUAUCAUUUGAGACUUGCAGUGGAUUAUAAUUUACGACCAGUUUAUCUGAUGUGAGAUUUUGAUGGUAUGUGGAAUAGUUUCAAAGCUUUUUCUGAAGCCAGCAUCUAAUUUCAGGAUUUAUAGCAAGCUGUAGGCACUGUCCUCCCAAUCUCAGCCUACAGUUGUGCUCCUGGAUGAGAUCUCUGGGAAAGCUGGUGUCCUUGGCAUUGCUUGGUAAUGCGUGCUGCCUUUUCCAUCACCAUGCUGGGAUCAUGCUGCCCUCCCACAAGACAAGUGAUUUCACCUCUCCAGUCAGACAGAGCUGAUGGUCCAGUUGCCAGCUAGCCACUGUACUGGUGGGAAGGAGUAUUUCUACCCAGCUUGAAGAUACUGAAAAUGCCGUCCAAAAUUAUAUCAUCUGCCUGGCAUCUACUCUACUAAGCACUGGUCAAGGAGGAUCCUAGUGUUUGCUCAGAAGCAUAUCUCCUCCUUUACUGGGGCACUGCUGACACAGGCUCACCCUACUGCUUUGCUUUGGUCCUGCCAUCUGCCCAGGAAUGGGUUGUGAUGGCACAUGGAUUUUCUUGCACGAGCAGCAGAGAACAUAGUGCAUAACACUCAACAUCUGCAGAUCCUGAGGGACUGUGCUUUCCCUGAAGCUGGUUGGCAGUGUGAGGUGCCAAAACAGGAAGAGUAAUGAAAGGGUACUCAUCCUAUCUCACAUGUCAGGCAGAGGAGCGCGCAGCAGGAGGAGAUGAUGAAAGAUGCAGUUCAAAUAAGAGUGACCUACACAAAUUCACGGUGCCCAGCUGGCUGCUGAGCACGGCCGAGCUUGUAUUAUAUUGGCAAGACAACAUGUUGGUUGCAGAAGACCACUUUCCAUACAACCAUGAAUACUCCAAAUUCAUUAUUGAUUGUACCUCAGUGGGUAUUGUUGGCAUUGUGAUGUUUGCUCCUUCCCAGAACUCCUGAUGUUUUGGAGGCUGCCAGGACUCAGCAUGGGAAGCUUUGAAGAAUUCAGCUUCUCUAAAAAAAUCUUUUCUCUUGGAGAAAACAAAUACAAUAAAUUUCCCUCUUGGCUGC